AAUACAUCGGAACGUGCCCUGUAGUGGGGGAUAACUAGUCGAAAGAUUAGCUAAUACCGCAUACGACCCGAGGGUGAAAGCGGGGGACCGCAAGGCCUCGCGCUACAGGAGCGGCCGAUGUCUGAUUAGCUAGUUGGUGGGGUAAAAGCCUACCAAGGCGACGAUCAGUAGCUGGUCUGAGAGGACGAUCAGCCACACUGGGACUGAGACACGGCCCAGACUCCUACGGGAGGCAGCAGUGGGGAAUUUUGGACAAUGGGGGCAACCCUGAUCCAGCAAUGCCGCGUGUGUGAAGAAGGCCUUCGGGUUGUAAAGCACUUUUGUCCGGAAAGAAAUGGCCUGGGCUAAUACCCCGGGUCGAUGACGGUACCGGAAGAAUAAGCACCGGCUAACUACGUGCCAGCAGCCGCGGUAAUACGUAGGGUGCGAGCGUUAAUCGGAAUUACUGGGCGUAAAGCGUGCGCAGGCGGUUUUGUAAGACAGGCGUGAAAUCCCCGAGCUCAACUUGGGAAUGGCGCUUGUGACUGCAAGGCUAGAGUAUGUCAGAGGGGGGUAGAAUUCCACGUGUAGCAGUGAAAUGCGUAGAGAUGUGGAGG
rnacentral:rRNA from 1 species